GGUGGCUUCGUAUAGUGGUUAGUACAACACGUUGUGGUUAUCAAAUAAUAGCUAUAAACGUCCCGUGUAAACCUGGGUUCGAUUCCCAGAGCCGCCA
rnacentral:tRNA from 1 species